rnacentral:tRNA from 1 species
GCUGGGAUAGCUCAGUUGGUAGAGCAUGAGAAUCUUAAUCUCAGGGUUGUGGGUUUGAACCCCACGUUGGGCA